UCUCAUGUUCUGAUAACCAGCGCACUUGACGUGGACCAGAGAAACACUAUUUCGAUUUUAGUCAGUUCCUUUUCGUCUUUCGCAUCGUUCGCACCGCACACGGGAAAUAUUACCAACCUCCGUUAUGUUGUUGAAACCUUAUCAGCUGGCCAUAGCCAUAGCUCUUUUCUUGGCCUGCUUCAGUCCCGAAGUAAGUUGCUUUGCUCGGAACUUUGGCCGUCCGAAUGCAACGUACUAUGCGCCGGCCCAGACUUAUCCGGGACAUAACUAUACCAGGCCCAACAUUGGCUUUCAGCAGCACUAUCCAGCUCAGCCCGCUUACAAUUCGGGACCGAAUCCCAUCUACGGCAAUCGUCCUGGAAAUUAUUCGGUUCAUGGUGGCUAUCGUCCCCGCAACAAUACCAACAUUUUCGCAAGACUUUUCAAGUUCUGGUAAAAACUAAAGUAUCCUACAAUCUGAAAUUAAAAUCAUCUUCAAAUUCCUCCAAAAUAACAAGUCAAGAAUGAGUUCAUUUAUUCCAACGCCGCAGUCUUUGUCUCUGCUGCCUGUAGAUCGAUCACCAGCUAGAAGCGUCGAGAACGACACCCAGAUGAGAGUACAUCAAAAUGUCAUAGGAGAUGAACCGCCUUACACAAGCACUCAACUGGACUGGAGUUGGUAGUAGUUCUCCUGGUAGUGCUCUCCUGGUAGUGCUCUCUCUCUCUCUCUCUUCUCUUUCUGUAUGGGAUGAACCAUCAAAGAAUUAGAAGACUCAGUUGUUGUCUCAUUUUCUGAUAAGCAAAGCAUUUGAUGUGGAAGACGGAAGCACUAUUUCGAUUUUAGUCAGUUCCUUUUCGUCUUUCGCAUCGUUCGCACCGCACACGGGAAAUAUUACCAACCUAAGUUAUGUUGUUGAAGCCUUAUCAACUGGUCAUAGCCAUAGCUCUUUUUCUGGCCUGCUUCAGUCCCGAAGUAAGUUCCCGUCGUAUCCAGUCUUCGCAUCGUCGAACGCACUAUACCAACAAUUAUACAGGUGGAUGGAACUAUACCAGCCACAACAUUAGUUACCACCAUCUAGCUAAGCCCGCUUACAAUUCGGGACCGAAUCUCAUCUACGGCAAUCAUACUGGAAAUUAUUCGCUUCAUGGGGGCUAUCGUCCCCACAACAACACUAGCUUCCCAACAUACUAUCCAGCUAAGUACGAUUACAUGCCGAAUCCCAUCCACGGCAAUCAUACUGGAAAUUAUUCGCUUCAUGGGGGCGACCAUCCCCACAACAACAUUAGCUUCCCAACAUACUAUCCAGCGAAUCCCAUCCACGGCAAUCAUACUGGAAAUUAUUCGCUUCCCCACAACAGCACCAACAUUUUUGCCAGACUUUUCAAGCUCUGGUAGAAGCUAAACUAUCCUACAAUCUGAAAUUAAAAUCAUCUUUAAAUUCGCCGAAAAUAACAAGUCAAGGUUGAGUUCAUUUUUUCCAAAAACAUUUAUUCAGCAGAUAAUCCGCAAGUGAUCACGGGAUUAUCUUGAUCAUCGUAUUAAAUGGCUUGCUUUCCGGUAUUCCAGGAACGUAUCGCAUAUAUAUUAUAUAUAUAUAUAGCGUAUAUAGAUUUGAUAUAUAGAGUAAAUGCAGAAAUGAUGAUUGGCUCCAUUUAUGGGGGUUGUUAAGUCAAGGGUGCGGUGGAGAAUUGUCAAUGUUAAUUAAAUAUAUAUACUGGGAGACGGCGAUUACGAACAAAUCUGAUUUUGAAUCUACAUAGAUGCCAGAUGUCCGCAAUACACGGUAUUUUAGAAUGUAUAUCAGGGUAUAUCAGCUUUGAACGUAUGAUUAUUAUUAUAGCAUUUGCAGCAUUAGCUUCUUGCCGUCUGUUGCUUUGUAGGAGGAAUACCGACGAUGAUCAAAGAAAUGAAGCAAACAAAAACCCGAUGAGGCUCCCGCGCCGCAGUCCGGUAAAAUCCCACGCCGCCGUCAGAAACUCCCACGCCGCAGUCCAAGUGCUCCCACGCCGCCGUCAGGAAAUAUCCCACGCAGCCGUCAAGUGAAUUCCCACGCCGCAGUCAAGUGUGGUCCCUCGCCGCUGUCCCAAAAAGAGAAUUUCCCACGCCGCAGUCGUCCAUCCGCUAGAUCUCCCUCGCCGUCAGUCCCAUCAGCCCGGUCCGCUCCAGUCCAGAGGGGUUUUAGGUUCUCCCUCGCCGCAGUCGAUUCGGUAUCCCACGUUGCCGAUGCCUAUAGAGUAGAAGCGUUGUCCCUAGCGCCCUCGCCUAACCGACGCCCUAAUAUAAAUCCCACGUUGCGCAACAUGCGAAUCCCUCGCUGCCGUCUCAUCUUCAUGGUUAUGGUAUUGCAUCCAGCGCCGCCGUCCACUUUUAGUGGUGUCCCACGCUGCCGUCAAUUCGAGGUAUCCCACGCUGCCGUCCUUACUUGGUUAUCCCACGCUGCCGUCAAAGCGAAAA